rnacentral:lncRNA from 1 species
AUGGGAGGGACAGAGGGGCGUUUCUACACGGACCAGAAGUCUGGCUCACAGUGGGGCGGGGGAGGGGCCAGGGUUGCUGUGACGUCGACCCCAGCAUUGAGACCCCCACAAUGCCCGCAAGGACCAGAACCUCGGGCAGCGCCAGACUCUGCAGGGUCCAAGAACAGCCAGCCUUUCCUGCCCAAGAUUGAAGGCCCUCUGCUGCAGAUCAUGGGCCGCCCCCCAUCAGAGGUUGAAGAUGCCCUUCUGGAGAAUGAAGUCCUCCCAGACAGCAUGCCGUGCUUCCCAGAGGGAGACAGUAUAAGCAACACAGAGAGGGACCAGGGCCCUUGGGAUGUGGUAUUAUCCCCUGAUGGGGAGGGAUCCACAGGGGUCGUGGACAGAAGCAAACUGCUAUGGGAGUCCAGCCUGGCCCCCAUCUCUGAGGCCUUGGGGACCCCAACCACAGACCACCCUGCUAGCUGUAACUGUGGGCAGCUGGGACCCAUAGCACUCUUCUCUCUCCCGGAGGCCACGGAGCCAGUGUCACAAAACUCCUCCCAGAGCCCUCAGGUUUUGCCCACCCCCCCCAAACAAAAUGAUUGGAGGAUGGACAAAGAAGAGAAAAAAGACCCUGAGCUGAUGAGCUCCUACCCAAUGAGGCCUGACCCUGCCAGACAUAUUUGGCCCAAGAAUCGAAUGUGCCAGGCAUAUAACGGAGCCCCAGAGGCAGGCAGACCCACAUCGGGAUGCCGGGGACCUCAGGCUUUCAGUUAUACAGACUCUGGUGAAGCACGGGCCCUGGUGCCACCUCAGCUAGACCUGAGCUCCACACAAGGGUGUGCUACUCCAAAGCCCUGUUGUGAAUGGCCAGAAGUACAAGCAUACACAGACAUGAAAAUGCACAUAGAGAAGCCAUCUCCAGCUCUUAAACAUGAUCACACACAUAGAAAAAAGCAUAUGCGCAUGACAACAGACACAGAUCUAGGUCCUCCAACCUUUUAAUCCCCCUGAAAACGCUGGUCCCACAGUGAUAUCCUGAGGAUGGACUGAAGGAUCCUGGGAUUUGGAGAGAAACAAGUGUUCAAUAAAGGCUAAAAGACUCCCUAUCUGCUCUACA